rnacentral:rRNA from 1 species
UUUUGGACAAUGGGCGAAAGCCUGAUCCAGCAAUGCCGCGUGCAGGAAGAAGGCCUUCGGGUUGUAAACUGCUUUUGUACGGAACGAAAAGGUCUGCCCUAAUACGGCGGGCCCAUGACGGUACCGUAAGAAUAAGCACCGGCUAACUACGUGCCAGCAGCCGCGGUAAUACGUAGGGUGCGAGCGUUAAUCGGAAUUACUGGGCGUAAAGCGUGCGCAGGCGGUGAUGUAAGACAGUUGUGAAAUCCCCGGGCUCAACCUGGGAAUUGCAUCUGUGACUGCAUCGCUAGAGUACGGUAGAGGGGGAUGGAAUUCCGCGUGUAGCAGUGAAAUGCGUAGAUAUGCGGAGGAACACCGAUGGCGAAGGCAAUCCCCUGGACCUGUACUGACGCUCAUGCACGAAA